GACGUAGGGCGCGAGCGUUGUCCGGAUUUAUUGGGCGUAAAGAGCUCGUAGGCGGCUUGUCGCGUCGGCUGUGAAAACCCGCGGCUCAACUGUGGGCGGGCAGCUGAUACGGGCAGGCUGGAGUUCGGUAGGGGGGACUGGAAUUCCUGGUGUAGCGGUGAAAUGCAUUGAGAUCGGAAAGAACACCAACGGCGAAAGCACUCUGCUGGGCCGACACUGACACUGAGAGACGAAAGCUAGGGGAGCAAAUGGG
rnacentral:rRNA from 1 species